rnacentral:rRNA from 1 species
CAAUCACUUGUCCUUUAAAUGAGGACCUGUAUGAAAGGCAUCACGAGGGCUUAGCUGUCUCCUUUUUCAAGUCAAUGAAAUUGAUCUCCCCGUGCAGAAGCGGGGAUCAGAACAUAAGACGAGAAGACCCUAUGGAGCUUUAGACACAAGACAGAUCAUGUUAAGCACCUUAUACAAAAGAGCAAACUAAGUGGAGCCUGUCUUAAUGUCUUUGGUUGGGGCGACCGCGGGGCAACAAAAAGCCCCCAUGAGGAAUAAAAGUAUUCUUUCAAAAACAAGAGCCACAGCUCUAAUGAGCAGAACAUCUGACCUACCAGAUCCGGCAUAGCCGAUCAACGAACCGAGUUACCCUAGGGAUAACAGCGCAAUCCCCUUUUAGAGCCCC